GAUGAAGAACGUAGUGAAAUGCGAUAAGUAAUGUGAAUUGCAGAAUUCAGUGAAUCAUCGAAUCUUUGAACGCACAUUGCGCCCGCCAGUAUUCUGGCGGGCAUGCCUGUUCGAGCGUCAUUACAACCCUCAGGCCCCCGGGCCUGGCGUUGGGGAUCGGCAGAAGCCCCCUGUGGGCACACGCCGUCCCUCAAAUACAGUGGCGGUCCCGCCGCAGCUUCCAUUGCGUAGUAGCUAACACCUCGCAACUGGAGAGCGGCGCGGCCAUGCCGUAAAACACCCAACUUCUGAAUGUUGACCUCGAAUCAGGUAGGAAUACCCGCUGAACCUAAGCAUAUCAAUAAGCGGAGGA
rnacentral:misc_RNA from 1 species